rnacentral:rRNA from 1 species
AUGACUGUAGGUGAAAGCUUACAUCUCUUCGGAGCAUUUUACGAGGUGCUGCAUGGUUGUCGUCAGCUCGUGCCGUGAGGUGUCGGGGUUUAAGUCCCAUAACGAGCGCAACCCCUACCUUUAGUUGCCAUCAGGUAAUGCUGGGGACUCUAAAGGAACUGCCCACGCAAGUAGUGAGGAAGGCGGGGAUGACGUCAAAUCAGCACGGCCCUUACGUCCAGGGCUACACACGUGCUACAAUGGCCGAUACAGAGGGCAGCUACCUGGUGACAGGAUGCAAAUCUCCAAAGUCGGUCUCAGUUCGGAUCGGAGUCUGCAACCCGACUCCGUGAAGUUGGAUUCGCUAGUAAUCGCGCAUCAGCCAUGGCGCGGUGAAUACGUUCCCGGGCCUU